rnacentral:hammerhead_ribozyme from 1 species
AUCCAGUUGACGAAUCUAAAAAUAGGAUGAAACGUGCGUCUUGGAU